GUGUCCAUAUAUUGCAAUCCGUUAAACCCAAUCCAUAAAGAAACUCAAAGCGCGGCAACGUUCUUCGAAGAAUCAGACUUGCGAAUGAAUCGAGGCAAUAAAGAAACGUGAAAUCAGGGCAUCGAUUGAGUAAACCGACGUGUAAUCAUCACAAUUAGGGCGGUGGGCGACUUUAGGGCUUUCAGAUUUGGGGCUAAUCAUCGCAUGGCAAUAUCAAUUGAAUAACAGAGGUAACAUUGUAUCAACGGCUAUAUGGGCGAAAUCAAUAUACAUAUUGCUCAAACCCUCAAACAGAAACUAAAAUAAGUUUGUGAUUUGUCGAUUUGAUUAUUUGGAACUUGGAAGACAGACACUUCUUUCACUUAGUUUUGCGAUUUCGCCUUGUGGUUGGCUUUGAACUUGGAAGACAGUGGCACUCAGAACUGCAAGAUCUCACCGAGGCUCUACUCACUGCUGCAGUGGUACGGGAGUGGACUGAUGGGUGUGGGAUUUAAACGACUCGGGUACGUUUACUGUUAAAACUUUUAAAAACAGAUUACAAAGUGCUAAAUUUCCAGAUUUGGGGAAUGAUUUUGUGUGGAAAAACUGGGACCAGGCCAAAGUGAAUUUUCUAUCUUAGAGAAUUUCCUUGGGAAGAAUGUCGACGGUUAUUGCUUUAGCCCGCAGAAAUGUCCAAACGGGUUCAAUUAGGUGCAAAAUUUGAGAGCCAAAAGGAUAAGAAUGUGGACUACUUGUUUGUCAACUGUCAAGUGGUCCACUUGGUGUGGGAUUAUAUUUCAAAAUUGUGUAGAAUCAUAUCUAGUAUAUUUGCAUUCUUUGUCAAGGAUAUUUUGGGAUGGCACCAGCUAAUUCAAGGUAUCACAAAGCGUAGAAAAUUAGUGUAGACAGUGAUGCAAGUGGCCAUAUGGGUGGUGUGGAGGAGCAGGAAUGAACUCGUCUUUAACACUAAACAAGCAUGCUUCGCUCCGAUGAUCGAAGAAAUAAAGCAUCUAGCGUAUUUAUGGAUUAAAAGUCAUUCGGUGCUAAAGGAAAUCACAUGGGAUGAAUGGUGUAAAUUUAAUGUUUCGAGUAAAUGUAGUUAAUGUGGUUCCUUUUGGACAAACUUCUUGUAAUUGUGACGAGGGCUAACACACUGUUAGUCUGUUGAUUUAACUAAAUAUACGUUUUUUGGCCGU